AUGGAGCUGAGCAGCAUCUUGAGCUUCUUUGCUGUUUUUCUACUCAUUCAAUAUUCCUGCAGUCAGACACUUACUGAAUCUGAAUCAGUGGUAAUCAGACCUGGAGAAUCUCAUAAACUGACCUGUACAGCCUCUGGAUUGGACUUUGAUGGCUACUGGAUGGCCUGGAUCAGACAGGCUCCGGGAAAAGGGCUGGAAUUUGUUUCAACUAUUGAGUAUGACAGUGAUAGGAAGUAUUAUUCUAGUGCAGUUAAUGGAAGAUUCACCACCACCAGAGAUAACAGUAAGGAUCAGGUGUAUCUGCACAUGAGCAGUGUGAAGACUGAAGACACGGCUGUGUAUUACUGUGCCCGAGAGCCACGGUGA